UAGCUAGUUGGUGAGGUAAAGGCUUACCAAGGCGACGAUCUGUAGCGGGUCUGAGAGGAUGAUCCGCCACACUGGAACUGAGACACGGUCCAGACUCCUACGGGAGGCAGCAGUGGGGAAUUUUGGACAAUGGGGGCAACCCUGAUCCAGCCAUGCCGCGUGAGUGAAGAAGCCUUCGGGUUGUAAAGCUCUUUCGGCCGGGAAGAAAUCGCAUGGGCCAAUACCCUGUGUGGAUGACGGUACCGGAAUAAGAAGCACCGGCUAACUACGUGCCAGCAGCCGCGGUAAUACGUAGGGUGCGAGCGUUAAUCGGAAUUACUGGGCGUAAAGCGUGCGCAGGCGGUUUUGUAAGACAGGCGUGAAAUCCCCGGGCUUAACCUGGGAACUGCGUUUGUGACUGCAAGGCUAGAGUACGGCAGAGGGGGGUGGAAUUCCACGUGUAGCAGUGAAAUGCGUAGAGAUGUGGAGGAACACCAAUGGCGAAGGCAGCCCCCUGGGUCGAUACUGACGCUCAUGCACGAAAGCGUAGGUAGCAAACAGGAUUAGAUACCCUGGUAGUCCACGCCCUAAACUAUGUCAACUAGGUGUUGGGUGGGUAAAACCAUUUAGUACCGUAGCUAACGCGUGAAGUUGACCGCCUGGGGAGUACGGCCGCAAGGUUAAAACUCAAAGGAAUUGACGGGGACCGCACAAGCGGUGGAUGAUGUGGAUUAAUUCGAUGCAACGCGAAAAACCUUACCUACCCUUGACAUGCCAGGAACUUGCCAGAGAUGGCUUGGUGCCCGAAAGGGAGCCUGGACACAGGUGCUGCAUGGCUGUCGUCAGCUCGUGUCGUGAGAUGUUGGGUUAAGUCCCGCAACGAGCGCAACCCUUGUCGUUAAUUGCCAUCAUUUAGUUGGGCACUUUAACGAGACUGCCGGUGACAAACCGGAGGAAGGUGGGGAUGACGUCAAGUCCUCAUGGCCCUUAUGGGUAGGGCUUCACACGUCAUACAAUGGUCGGUACAAAGGGUUGCCAAGCCGCGAGGCGGAGCCAAUCCCAGAAAGCCGAUCGUAGUCCGGAUUGCAGGCUGCAACUCGCCUGCAUGAAGUCGGAAUCGCUAGUAAUCGUGGAUCAGCAUGUCACGGUGAAUACGUUCCCGGGUCUUGUACACACCGCCCGUCACACCAUGGGGGCGGGUUCCGCCAGAAGUAGGUAGCCUAACCGCAAGGGGGGCGCUUACCACGGCGGGGUUCGUGACUGGGGUGAAGUCGUAACAAGGUAGCCGUAGGGGAACCUGCGGCUG
rnacentral:rRNA from 1 species